rnacentral:rRNA from 1 species
GUGGGGAAUUUUGGACAAUGGGGGCAACCCUGAUCCAGCAAUGCCGCGUGUGUGAAGAAGGCCUUCGGGUUGUAAAGCACUUUUGUCCGGAAAGAAAUUGCUCUGGCUAAUACCUGGGGUAGAUGACGGUACCGGAAGAAUAAGCACCGGCUAACUACGUGCCAGCAGCCGCGGUAAUACGUAGGGUGCGAGCGUUAAUCGGAAUUACUGGGCGUAAAGCGUGCGUAGGCGGUUUUGUAAGACAGGCGUGAAAUCCCCGGGCUCAACCUGGGAAUUGCGCUUGUGACUGCAAGGCUAGAGUGCGUCAGAGGGGGGUAGAAUUCCACGUGUAGCAGUGAAAUGCGUAGAGAUGUGGAGGAAUACCGAUGGCGAAGGCAGCCCCCUGGGACGUGACUGACGCUCAUGCACGAAAGCGUGGGGAGCAAACAGG